AAGGGAAGGUAAUUGAAAACACGCUGCAUUCUUGAGCCCAGAGGGGAGAGCUCUGUGGAUUGUCAGCACCUAACAGACAGGGCUGUUUUUUACCCUGACAUGUUUUAACACCUGGCUGUUUGGAGUGGGGAGGAGAAGACUGGAUUGUCUAAUAAUCAUAUGCACUUCUGGCCUUUGAAAGUUACAGGGGCACUGUUCUCCUUUCUCAGAGAUGAUCUUUGAGUUUAUAGCUUCCUUUCUUAAUCCUAAAAUUGUGCAGGGGCUAGGCUAGAGCCUGGGGAACUUACCUCCCCUUGCAGUGACUUCUGCAGGUAGGUUGGGGGGCCAGCGUGGGAUCGACCCUGACAUCACUAGCACAGCCUGGCUCAAUGUGAUUAACGAAGCAGUGCUUUUCCAGAUCAGUAACCAGAGUUCCAUUCCAGUCUGAGCUCCCAUUAGACAGGAGUUUGAUGGGGAGGGUGCCAGCGGGGAAGGGGAUAGCACGGACAAUGAGCAAUGCCCCAUACACGCAGGGAGCCAUCACUGAAUCUCGGCAGAGAACAUCACUUAGUUUCAAGCCUGACUGUUUCACUACUGUGAAAUGCAAACCCAACACAUAUAAGGGUAGGAACCCGAUACAUAGAAUGGCUAGUGGUGACCACCAUUAUGGCUCCGGGGAUCCUGUCCCUGCUCAGAGGCAAUUCAGGGAACGAGGGGUCUGAAAGAGAGGAAAACCUCUAGGUCACACUAAUGACCAGUAGCGGUAACCAGCCAGUGGUUGGGUUUGGGCCAAUAGGAAUGAGUUCAUGGGCUCAGUUUUUCCUAAUGGAGCGCUGUUCAUGUGGCUCCGUAAUACCCAGCACGGCUGGCGCUCGCAGGCGAGGAUACAACCGGUCUGGAAACUGAACAACUCUCUCAGCCCACCAAGCAGCUCAGCACGGUUCUGGAGCAGUGAGGGGAGGAGCUUAGAUUGCCACUGCCUCUAGGCUGUGCCCUUUCCGUGAGCACAGGAUUUCUCAAGUCCAGCACAAAACCCACUUUUUAACCACGAAACAUGGAAAAGGAGAAGAAAUUCAGGGUAAGCCAGAGGGAGUGACAGCAGCAUCCUGGACACAGGCUUUCCUGUGAGUAAAGGAUCAGCCUUGGACUUUGGAUUUCCGACUAGUCCUUGUUUACCCAGCUCCAGUUCUGAAAGUGCCUGUUCAUCGUACAAACAUCAAGAGUGCUGGCAAGGCCGAGGGGAAGCAAAGUUCAGCUGCAGGGAAUGCGAGAGGAAGGGCGGUCCUGCAGCUCCCCUGGCAGCAGCUCAGGUCGUUAAAGCAAACGGUUCUGAUCUGCAGCAGGGCGGGAAGGAAAAUGGUGGGGGAAUCCAUCACCUAAAGCCUGGGUCGCUAUGUGCUCCUGGCCUGGCCAUAAAAACUGGGGCUGGGCAGAAAUCCGAGCCCUCCCCACCAGCCACGUUAAAAGCUGCUGACUGACCCCCAGCAGUGCACAUUCACUACAGCACGUCCAGGGUUGCAGGACCAUCGGGGAGAUUAUUGUGUCACCAGGUUAUACUACAACCGUCUUCCCACAGCGCCACACGAGAAGAGACUCAGCAACGGCCUCGCUGAAGGCUCCAAAGCCCCUGCACUCUGGGGCCUAGCCCAGCAGCGCAGGCUGGAGGAGGAUGGGUUCAGGUUCAGUGUGCUCUGUGGUCGACAGCGAAGCACUCAUUUCCCUGGAUCCACUCGCCCCUCCUAAAAACAGUACCUGCAGUGUGUGCUCGGUUAACUCCCUCCUGUUGACUCAUUUACGGAAGUCAGGUUUCAGACACAACCCACUACGAUGUGCUCCUAACAGAGGGGUUUGUUUCAGAGAGCUCCACUGUGUUGUGGACCAUCUUUGGGUUUGGCACACAAGCAAUAUAUUUCAUCCGUAGAUCAGGCCAGUUUUCUAUUGCUUUUUCCCAUCUGAACCAUGCUAACUCUGGUGCUGUUCCUCUGAGGAGCUCCAAGCACCUUACAAACAUUGGUCAAACAUCACACCACCCCUGUAAGGCAGGUAGGAUUAUCCCCAUUUUACAAAGGGGGAAACUGAGACUCGGUUACCCAGAGUCACACAACACACCAAUGACAAAGCCAGGAAGAGAACUCAGGUUUCCUGACUCCUCGUCUCCCCACUUUAAUCACUAGACUACACUCUCUUUCUUCAGAAACACUAAUUCUGUUUUCUGAUGCUAAUUUAAAAGGGCUUUAUUCUAUUGCUCUAGAUUAAAUUCCUUAAGCAGAUCUCUCCCUCAGAGAGCUGUUUUUCAAAAGUCCGCUCCGAUGCACUUGAAUGUUUCCAUCAUGCAGCCUUUAUUGUCCCCCUUUCAGCUGUGAAAUAGCACUAAUCUCACACAAGCAAACUCACAAAUCAAGCAAGUUCAGACACUGUCAUCCAGAAGUCCCCCUGUACUAAAAUUAGGAAACCAUAAGUGGCUGCCUCUUCUUAUAGGAGGGUGUGACCAAGCAACUCCCCAGCCAAUCAGAGCCAAAUUAAUUCUGCAGGCAUGAAGCAACUGAACUUGUUUAUCAUUUUGACAUCUGGCACCAGAGCAAAAACUUGCAAAUCUUAAACUGCCUUCACACAAGGAACUUGUGACACAGACAGCUGCAGCCUCACAGCCCACAGGCUGGGACUACCUACUCUCCCUACAAAGGGUACGGAGCCUGGAUUGGAAGAGAACACAGUAGAAGGGCCAUGUUGGGUUUUCAACGUGCAUUCAGGUUGCUUAAUGCAACAGUGAGGAAGCAGAUUGUUCCCAGAGCAAAUAUUGUUUCUGGACCACCAGAGGAGAUUGUCACUCCAGCUGAUCAAGCCAUUGCGCUGAUUGUGAUGUUUGCAACCGUCCUGAUCCCAUCGGGCUGGAUUCUGGCACACAUGGAGGACUACAAGCACAAGCCUAGCGAGUGAGAGACAGGGGGAAGCUGCAUGCAGCCUAGUUUAGGAGAAUGGGAAGAGAAGACUAUUGAACAAACUCCUUCAUGGCAAUCUGACCUUUGAGGAUUUUAUAAUUAAAACACCAUGAAAAAACAUAA